GUCAGAGUGACUGAGGCAGUAGAUAGUGUUGGAUUUGGAUUCUCAGAGAUCUAUGUUCAAAUCUUGGCUCAGACA
rnacentral:tRNA from 1 species